rnacentral:rRNA from 1 species
UACGUAGGGUGCAAGCGUUGUCCGGAAUUAUUGGGCGUAAAGAGCUCUUAGGCGGCUUGUCGCGUCGGCUGUGAAAACCUGGGGCUCAACUCCGGGCCUGCAGCCGAUACGGGCAAGCUAGAAUUCGGUAGGGGAGACUGGAAUUCCUGGUGUAGCGGUGAAAUGCGUAGAUAUCAGGAGGAACACCUGUGGCGAAAGCGGCGCACUGGACCACAACUGACGCUGAGGCGCGAAAGCUAGGGGAGCAAACAGG